UUGAAACAUUGUUUCCCAUACGACCCCCAAAGUUAAACAAUGUUGAGCCAGGCAGUACCUAGAUGGGUGACUGCUUGAGAAUACCAGGUGC